GCCUGAAUAGCUCAGUCAGUAAAGCGUCAGACUUUUAAUCUGAGGAUCCAGGGUUCAUGUACCUGUUUGGGUA
rfam:TPA: Bos taurus chromosome 29, whole genome shotgun sequence.